rnacentral:rRNA from 1 species
UACGUACCGUACGAACGUUAUUCGGAAUUACUGGGCUUAAAGGGUUUGUAGGCGGCCUUGUAAGUCAGGUGUGAAAGCCCUCGGCUCAACCGAGGAAUAGCGCUUGAUACUGCAAGGCUUGAGGGAGACAGGGGUAAGCGGAACUGAUGGUGGAGCGGUGAAAUGCGUUGAUAUCAUCAGGAACACCGGGUGGCGAAAGCGGCUUACUGGGUCUCUUCUGACGCUGAGGACGAAGCUAAGGUAGCG